AACUUUCAACAACGGAUCUCUUGGUUCCAGCAUCGAUGAAGAACGCAGCGAAAUGCGAUAACUAAUGUGAAUUGCAGAAUUCAGUGAAUCAUCGAGUCUUUGAACGCACAUUGCGCCCCUCGGUAUUCCGGGGGGUAUGCCUGUUCGAGCGUCAUU
rnacentral:rRNA from 1 species